GUGCCACCGCGGUAAUACGUAGGCAGCGAGCGUUGUUCGGAGUUACUGGGCGUAAAGGGUGUGUAGGCGGUCCUCCAAGUUUGGUGUGAAAUCUCCCGGCUCAACCGGGAGGGUGCGCCGAAAACUGGGGGGCUAGAGUGCGGGAGGGGAGAGUGGAAUUCCUGGUGUAGCGGUGAAAUGCGUAGAUAUCAGGAGGAACACCGGUGGUGUAGACGGCUCUCUGGACCGUAACUGACGCUGAGACACGAAAGCGUGGGUAGCAAACAGG
rnacentral:rRNA from 1 species